GACUGCCGGUUCAGGUGCUGCAUGGCUGUCGUCAGCUCGUGCCGUGAGGUGUUGGGUUAAGUCCCGCAACGAGCGCAACCCUCGUCCUUAGUUGCCACCAUUGAGUUGGGCACUCUAAGGAGACUGCCGGCGUUAAGCCGGAGGAAGGUGGGGACGACGUCAAGUCAUCAUGGCCCUUAUGUCCAGGGCCACACACGUGCUACAAUGGGCGGUACAAAGGGUUGCAAAACCGCGAGGGGGAGCUGAUCCCAAAAGGCCGCUCUCAGUUCGGAUUGGAGUCUGCAGCUCGACUCCAUGAAGUUGGAAUCGCUAGUAAUCGCGGAUCAGCACGCCGCGGUGAAUACGUUCCCGGGCCUUGUACACACCGCCCGUCACACCAUGGAAGCCAGCUGUACCGGAAGUCGGUGCGCCAACCCGCAAGGGAGGUAGCCGCCUAUGGUAUGACUGGUGACUGGGGUGAAGUCGUAACAAGGUAGCCGU
rnacentral:rRNA from 1 species